AAUUUUGGACAAUGGGCGCAAGCCUGAUCCAGCCAUGCCGCGUGAGUGAAGAAGGCCUUCGGGUUGUAAAGCUCUUUCGGACGGAAAGAAAUCGCGCAGGCUAAUACCCUGCGCGGAUUACGAUACCGUACUAUGCAGCACCGGCUAACUACGUGCCAGCAGCCGCGGUAAUAGGUAGGGUGCGAUCGUGAACCGGAAUUACUGGUCGUACAGAGUGCGCAGGCGGUUGAUUAAGACAGGCGUGAAAUCCCCGGGCUUAACCUGGGAACUGCGCUUGUGACUGGUCAGCUAGAGUACGGCAGAGGGGGGUGGAAGUCCACGUGUAGCAGUGAAAUGCGUAGAGAUGUGGAGGAACACCGAUGGCGAAGGCAGCCCCCUGGGCCGAUACUGACGCUCAUGCACGAAAGCGUGGGUAGCAAACAGG
rnacentral:rRNA from 1 species